rnacentral:rRNA from 1 species
UACGAAGGGGGCGAGCGUUGUUCGGAUUUACUGGGCGUAAAGGGCGCGCAGGCGGCUCAUUUUGUCAGGCGUGAAAGCCCCGGGCUUAACCUGGGAACUGCGCUUGAGACGGGUGGGCUAGAGAUCGGGAGAGGAGAGUGGAAUUCCCAGUGUAGAGGUGAAAUUCGUAGAUAUUGGGAAGAACACCGGUGGCGAAGGCGGGUCUCUGGGCAGUAACUGACGCUGAGGAGCGAAAGCGUGGGGAGCGAACAGG